rnacentral:lncRNA from 1 species
GUGAGCUUGGGCUUCUUGGGCUUCCUGGGAAGAUCUGGCCUCUGCAUUAACUAGGUCUUGCUGUGCAUUGCUGAGCAGUAUAGCCAUCCUGGUAGACUGUGAUGAAGUCAGCCUUCUUGACCAGUGAGGCCCAUGUGUACAUAGUAUCUGACACACAGUGUGAACAUUGGUGGAGGGUUGGUGUUAGCAGCAGCAUCUGUGCUGUCACUGCAGUGUGGAAAACUAUGCCAUCUGUCCAUCAUAGCUAGUUUUUGUUACUAAGCUUUGGAUGAGCGAGGGAAGAACUCUUCUUUUUAUUUGGUUAAAGAAGAGUCUGCUCAUACUCUCUGCACUGCAAGCACAAUCAGUGGUGUCACAAGCACAGUCUCUUUCUGGGAUAAUUCUGAGCAUUACAAGUAUUUAUUGACUGAUAAUACGGCCAAACCAUUGUGUCUUUCAUUUUAAAAAACCCGCUAUGGUUUGCAUCCUGGAUGAAGAUGAGUCAGUGCUGCUGCUCAGGGACACGCAGCCCGCUACCCGGCUUCCCUCCUUCCUGCCCUGACUUUGUCUGUUUCUGUUUCUCCAUUUGGCUUUCUUUUCUUUACACAGUUCCCCUUUCUUUUCUUUCGUUUCGUUUCUUUUUUUUUUUUUUUUUUUUGGCCACUUAACCGUAGUUUUUCUGCACAUGUCAUACCAGCUUUUGCAUAUGUUCAGCCCUGUUGCCAAGUCAGGUGUGCAGAGAACACUGUCUUUCUGACCACCUCAGUAUGUCCAUUAGCUUAGGAGCGACAGCAAUGUUGGCAAGUCAGGCAUCUAGUCCUUGUUUUGGUACAGUUUGUGAAAAUGACCUUGGUGUAAAGAGCCGUGUGUGCCCUCGGAACGAGGAUGCCACACUCACCUCACUUCUGUGACCACUCUUUGAACCAUCUCUUGUCAUUUCUAAAACACUCGUCUCAGAACAAAACAUUUGUUUGCUUUUUUUAAUAAAAAAGCAAGCCUUCCUCAUGAUACCAUUCUGUGAUUCCUCUACUGUAAAACUUCCUGAAACUUCACAUUCACUCUUUUAUGUUCUGGAAGCAUUUAUAAUAAUAGCAGCCAUUACCUUAAUAUUG